AGUGAACGCUGGCGGUAGGCCUAACACAUGCCAGUCGAACGGCAGCACAGUAAGAGCUUGCUCUUACGGGUGGCGAGUGGCGGACGGGUGAGGCAUACAUCGGAAUCUACUUUUUCGUGGGGGAUAACGUAGGGAAACUUACGCUAAUACCGCAUACGACCUACGGGUGAAAGCAGGAGAUCUUCGGACCUUGCCCGAUUGAAUGAGCCGAUGUCGGAUUAGCUAGUUGGCGGGGUAAAGGCCCACCAAGGCGACGAUCCGUAGCUGGUCUGAGAGGAUGAUCAGCCACACUGGAACUGAGACACGGUCCAGACUCCUACGGGAGGCAGCAGUGGGGAAUAUUGGGCAAUGGGCGCAAGCCUGAUCCAGCCAUACCGCGUGGGUGAAGAAGGCCUUCGGGUUGUAAAGCCCUUUUGUUGGGAAAGAAAAGCAGCAGGUUAAUACCCCGCUGUUCUGACGGUACCCAAAGAAUAAGCACCGGCUAACUUCGUG
rnacentral:rRNA from 1 species